GGGCCAUAACUUAGAGGUAGAGCAUCUGCCUUGCAAGGAGGAGGUGCUAGGUUCAAUUCCUGGCAUCUCCA